UGGACCUAUAGUUUCAGCGGUGAAAAUACUCGCCUGUCACGCGAGAGUCACGGGUUCGAAUCCCGUUAGGUCCGCCAA
rnacentral:tRNA from 1 species